rnacentral:lncRNA from 1 species
UGUAAUAUGGUACACUGUGAUAAAAAUAAAUAAAAAAGUUUAGUAUAAAUUUUAUUGUUAAAAUCGCCCCGGGUCCAAAAAUUCUUUAGACCGGAUCUGGGCUCAAGGUUUCUUGAUCUCAAAGGAAAGAUCGUUCAUGUGGCCGACCCGGUUACCUUGAGUGGACGGGCUUAAUCUUUUCCGAGUGCAAGUUGUAACCCUCGUCGCCGACGACGCGUUGCUGCCGCCCGGUGCGGCCGCCUUUGGUCUGGUGACGACUGGCCGGUGAGAAGAAGUACCACUCGCCUCCUUUCCCGUCCUUCUUAUCGGAGCCAGGCGCGUGGGCACGGUUCUCGAUGAGGUCCCCGGGCGGCACGGAGUAGACGUCGGCAUCGUGGGUGAAGUUGCUGAACUGGUCGCAGUACUGUUCUUCGGUAAUCCUCCGGCGGAGGUACUGGUUGAUAAGCUCGUGUCCUCCGGGAUUAAAGACGGAGCUGACGGGAAAGAGCUCGGGAUGGCCGGCCAUGUGGAAUCGCGCCUUGAUCAGAACUAGCUAGCUAGCGGACCUAGUUACUUCUCGAUCGCCUUUAUCGGAACUAGCUAAGGUACGAUAGGUAUGGAAACAUAGCUGGCUAUAGGUUGUAUGUAUGGAUGGUUACGCACCUUCCUUGAUUAAUAUAUAGAGUGCUUCUCGUCUUCACCUUGUAUCCGAAUUGCUACCGGAGUUCAUAUCGCUAACCGGAUUCACUUUUCUCUAGUUUUGUUUUAUACGUUCCAUUUCUUACACUUGUCUCUUUUUAUCACAUUUUGCUUUGCCGGCACCUAUUUAUGC